rnacentral:rRNA from 1 species
UACGGAGGGGGUUAGCGUUGUUCGGAAUUACUGGGCGUAAAGCGCACGUAGGCGGAUUAGUCAGUCAGAGGUGAAAUCCCAGGGCCCAACCUGGAACUGCCUUUGAUACUGCUAGUCUUGAGUUCGAGAGAGGUAAGUGGAAUUCCAAGUGUAGAGGUGAAAUUCGUAGAUAUUUGGAGGAACACCAGUGGCGAAGGCGGCUCACUGGCUCGAUACUGACGCUGAGGUACGAAAGUGU